rnacentral:rRNA from 1 species
GACGAACGCUGGCGGCGUGCCUAACACAUGCAAGUCGAGCGGGGGACUUAUGACGGAACACUUCGGUGUGAAGAUAUAAGUAGCCUAGCGGCAGACGGGUGAGUAACGCGUGAGAAACCUGCCCUUCACAAGGGAAUAGCCUCGGGAAACCGGGAUUAAUACCCUAUGAAACUUAAUGGUCGCAUGACUAAUAAGUUAAAGCGUAAAGCGGUGAAGGAUGGUCUCGCGUCCCAUUAGCUAGUUGGUGAGAUUACAGCCCACCAAGGCGACGAUGGGUAGCCGGCCUGAGAGGGUGAACGGCCACACCGGAACUGAGACACGGUCCAGACUCCUACGGGAGGCAGCAGUGGGGAAUCUUGCACAAUGGAGGGAACUCUGAUGCAGCGACGCCGCGUGAACGAUGAAGGUUUUCGGAUUCGUAAAGUUCUGUUCUAAGGGAAGAUAAUGACGGUACCUUAGAAGAAACGCCCCGGCUAACUACGUGCCAGCCGCCGCCGUAACACCUAGACUGCCAAGGCAC